rnacentral:rRNA from 1 species
GAUGAACGCUAGCUACAGGCUUAACACAUGCAAGUCGAGGGGCAGCAUGAACUUAGCUUGCUAAGUUUGAUGGCGACCGGCGCACGGGUGAGUAACACGUAUCCAACCUUCCGUUUACUCAGGGAUAGCCUUUCGAAAGAAAGAUUAAUACCUGAUAGUAUGGUGAGAUUGCAUGAUAACACCAUUAAAGAUUUAUUGGUAAACGAUGGGGAUGCGUUCCAUUAGGUAGUAGGCGGGGUAACGGCCCACCUAGCCAACGAUGGAUAGGGGUUCUGAGAGGAAGGUCCCCCCACAUUGGAACUGAGACACGGUCCAAACUCCUACGGGAGGCAGCAGUGAGGAAUAUUGGUCAAUGGACGAGAGUCUGAACCAGCCAAGUAGCGUGAAGGAUGAAGGUCCUACGGAUUGUAAACUUCUUUUAUAAGGGAAUAAACCCUCCACGUGUGGGAGCUUGUAUGUACCUUAUGAAUAAGCAUCGGCUAACUCCGUGCCAGCAGCCGCGGU